rnacentral:rRNA from 1 species
UACGGAGGGGGCUAGCGUUGUUCGGAAUUACUGGGCGUAAAGCGCACGUAGGCGGAUUGGAAAGUUGGGGGUGAAAUCCCGGGGCUCAACCCCGGAACUGCCUUCAAAACUCCCAGUCUGGAGGUCGAGAGAGGUGAGUGGAAUUCCGAGUGUAGAGGUGAAAUUCGUAGAUAUUCGGAGGAACACCAGUGGCGGAGGCGGCUCACUGGCUCGAUACUGACGCUGAGGUGCGAAAGCGUGGGGAGCAAACAGG